GUUUAAUUAUAGCCAGUCAUCUCUAUCAGGAUUUUAUCAGCUCCUUAUAAGCCAUUUAUCAAGUUUCAUCAAUUAAAUAGAGGCUGUUAAAAGCUUAUUGGAAGUUGAUAAUUACUGUUUUGAAUAUACAUUUCACUAAAAAUAUUAACUAAAGUGAUUAAAUGGAUAGAUGCAUAUUGACCGAUAAAUGGCUUCAUUGAAUUCCCCUAAAGGUUGUUGAUAAAUUACCUCUUUACUAUUUCCAACUGGCUGCAAGUGCUGGUUAAAAACAAAACCUUUAUGGCAUGAGGGUGAUCAUGUGGUAGUGUGGUUAACCACAUUACAUAGUUAAACAGUUACAUAGUGGAAAAGAGACUUGCAUCCAUCAAGUUCUGCCUUCCUCACGUAUGUUUUUGCUGUUGAUCCAAAAGAAGGCAAAAAACCCAGUCUGAAGCGCUUUCAAUUUUGCAACAAACUAGGAAAAAAAUUCCUUCUUGACCUCAAAAUGGCAGUCAGAUAUCUCCUUGGAUCAAGCAGCUAUUACUUCACUAAUUAGAAAUUAUAUCCAUGUUUAAAAUGCAAAACAAAUAAAAUAGAACUCAUGGGUUUCAAUAUGACCUCCAUAUUAAUUUAAUAAAUUACUGUCAACCCAUGGGGGACUCCGAUCCAUGACCUGCAAGUUAAACUCUAAAAUUAAUUAUGGCGACAAUAAACUGUUCACCCGUCCUUACCCAUGAGGAUGAGGCUGUUUAAAUUGUAG